AGACCUGRCGGGGGGCGAUCAGCCGCCGUUCUCGGCGGUGCACUCGCCCGCGAUCAGGCCAGCAUCGGUUUGGGCGGCCGGACAAAGGCCGUGGGAAYGUAGCUCCCUUCGGGGAGUCUUAUAGCCCGCGGCGCAAUGCGACCAGCCCGGAUCGAGGACCGCGCUUCGGCUAGGAUGCUGGCGUAAUGGUUGCAAGCGACCCGUCUUGAAACACGGACCAAGGAGUCUAACAUCUAUGCGAGUGUUUGGGUGUCAAACCCAUGCGCGUAAUGAAAGUGAACGGAGGUGAGAACCCGCCAGGGCGCAUCAUCGACCGAUCCUGAUGUCUUCGGAUGGAUUUGAGUACGAGCAUAGCUGUUGGGACCCGAAAGAUGGUGAACUAUGCC
rnacentral:rRNA from 1 species